CCUACGGGUGGCAGCAGUCGGGAAUCUUGCGCAAUGGAGGAAACUCUGCCGCCGUGACGCCGCGUGCAGGAAGAAGGUUUUCGGAUUGUAAACUGCUUUAGACAGGUCAGAAACACGACAGUACCUGUCAACUCAGCUCCGGCUAACUACGUGCCAGCCGCCGCGGUAAUACGUAGGGAGCCCGCGUUAUCCGGAUUUCUGGGGUGUAAAGGGUGCGUAGACGGGAAGGCACGCUGGUUGUGAAAUCCCUCGGCGUAACUGAGGAACUGCAACCAACACUCACUUUCUUGAGUGCUGGAGAGGAAAGUGGAAGUCCGAGUGUAGCGGUGAAAGGCGUAGAGAUUAGGAGGAACACCAGUGGCGAAGGCGACUUUCUGGACAGUAACUGACGUUGAGGCACGAAAGUGUGGGGAGCAAACAGGAUUAGAUACACUAGUAGGC
rnacentral:rRNA from 1 species